CAAUAUAGUAGAGGCGCGGGAUUUAAGAGUAGACAGAAUGAUGCGUGUGGUUGCAUAUGAGUUCUGGUGAAAGGAGAGACCGCCGAAGUUGUGAACCAGCCACGGAGUUCACUGCUGGUUGUGCAGUUAAUAGCUGUAUGACUGUCAUCGAUAUUUAUAUAGGCUAUUUUAUUUAUAGAGAUGGAGAGCUACUUAUAAG
rfam:Coprococcus eutactus CAG:665 genomic scaffold, scf195